UGGCUCAGUUGGCAGAGCAUGGUGUUUGCAACGCCAGGGUUGUGGGUUCAUUUCCCAC
rnacentral:tRNA from 1 species